GAUGAACGCUGGCGGCGUGCCUAAUACAUGCAAGUCGAGCGAACGGACGAGAAGCUUGCUUCUCUGAUGUUAGCGGCGGACGGGUGAGUAACACGUGGAUAACCUACCUAUAAGACUGGGAUAACUUCGGGAAACCGGAGCUAAUACCGGAUGAUAUUUUGAACCGCAUGGUUCAAAAGUGAAAGACGGUCUUGCUGUCACUUAUAGAUGGAUCCGCGCUGCAUUAGCUAGUUGGUAAGGUAACGGCUUACCAAGGCAACGAUGCAUAGCCGACCUGAGAGGGUGAUCGGCCACACUGGAACUGAGACACGGUCCAGACUCCUACGGGAGGCAGCAGUAGGGAAUCUCCCGCAAUGGGCGAAAGCCUGACGGAGCAACGCCGCGUGAGUGAUGAAGGUCUUCGGAUCGUAAAACUCUGUUAUUAGGGAAGAACAUAUGUGUAAGUAACUGUGCACAUCUUGACGGUACCUAAGCAGAAAGCCACGGCUAACUACGU
rnacentral:rRNA from 1 species